rnacentral:rRNA from 1 species
GCCUGCCCAGUGAACAAUUAAACGGCCGCGGUACCCUAACCGUGCAAAGGUAGCAUAAUCAUUUGUCUACUAAUUAUAGACCUGUAUGAAAGGCAAAAUGAGGGUCCAACUGUCUCUUAUAAUAAAUCAAUUAAACUGAUCUCCUAGUAAAAAAGCUAGAAUAAUACCAUAAGACCAGAAGACCCUGUGAAGCUUAAAUCAAACUACUAAAUCACAUAGUAAUUACUUUCGGUUGGGGCGACCUUGGAAAAAAAUAGAACUUCCAAGACCCAGUACAACUGACAAUUGAACCAAGUUACUCCAGGGAUAACAGCGCAAUCUUCUUCAAGAGCCCAUAUCAAAAAGAAGGUUUACGACCUCGAUGUUGGAUCAGGACAUCCUAAUGGUGCAGCCGCUAUUAAGGGUUCGUUUGUUCAACGAUUAACAGUCCUACGUGAUCUGA